rnacentral:rRNA from 1 species
GUCCAGACUCCUACGGGAGGCAGCAGUGGGGGAUAUUGCACAAUGGGGGAAACCCUGAUGCAGCGACGCCGCGUGAGUGAAGAAGUAUUUCGGUAUGUAAAGCUCUAUCAGCAGGGAAGAAAAAAGACGGUACCUGACUAAGAAGCCCCGGCUAACUACGUGCCAGCAGCCGCGGUAAUACGUAGGGGGCAAGCGUUAUCCGGAUUUACUGGGUGUAAAGGGAGCGUAGACGGCAAUACAAGUCGGAAGUGAAAUACCCUGGCUCAACCUGGGAACUGCUUUGGAAACUGUAUGGCUGGAGUGCUGGAGAGGUAAGCUGAAUUCCUAGUGUAGCGGUGAAAUGCGUAGAUAUUAGGAGGAACACCAGUGGCGAAGGCGGCUUACUGGACAGUAACUGACGUUGAGGCUCGAAAGCGUGGGGAGCAAACAGGAUUAGAUACCCGUGUA